ACGACAGUGUUACCCCCUUUGUUUUGAUUGCUAAAUAUCGACAGUGUUACCCCUUAUGUUUUUUCAUGACGACCGACAAAAAACGACAGUGUUUCAUUUGAUAAAAACAACAGUGUUACCCCUUGUGUUUUUUUUCAUGACGACCAAAGAAAAACAACAUUGUUAACCCCUAUGUUUUAUUUGAUAAAUAUCGACAGUGUUACCCCUUUUGUUUUUUUCAUGACGACCAAUAAAAAACAACAGUGUAACCCCUUAUGAUUUUUUCAUGACGACCAAUAAAAAACAACAUUGUUACCCAGGGACGCGGGAAAUGGGGGUGCUUAGGGUGCUGCAGCACCCCCCCCCCUGGCGGCACCUGGCUGUAACUGCAAGUGAGAAUGUUUUUUUUUGUAUAUUUUGAUCAUACAACAUGAAUUUUCAUAAAAUUAUUGACAUCCACCCUUUUUAUGAUAUUUAUCAUAUUAUCAUUUCAUUUUAUUUAGAACAUUGUCUGUGUAGGCUGACGUAGGCUAUGACGCACAACGCAGAACUGUCCAUAGCUGAAUAUGGUACUAUGCUGAUUUUACGUAAGCAUGUUGGUGUUCAACAUCUGUUGUAGUGAACAUUCUAAAACUGUUGUAAAAUGUUCCUGCCAUAUUAAUAGACACGUUGAAUGUUAUCGUUUUGAUUCUGGAAUCCCGCACGUAAACUGGUUGGCAAAAAAAGAGCAGAGACGGACGGUUCACUUUCCUUUGUAAACCUUUAGAAAUAAACUCCUGAAUCCUUGUUAUAACGCUGUGUAUAAUCCCGGACCGCAACAGCUUGUCGGCAUGUUGUUAGUGUGUGAAAUUCAGCACAGUAUCAGCCGAGUUGACUCUAAUUUCCACAUUGUUUACUUGCUAAUGUUUGUGAAUAACAGUGGCUAGUUGGCAGAACUCUUUUUACACACCAGUAGAGUGUUUAUCAGAGCGGAGCCCUGAAUGUGACGUCACCCGUCAUCUCGUCUCAGUAAACAUUGGAUGUUGCUCACCAUUUAUUAUGACGUCAUUAUAUAGGCUCUCUCUCAGCACCCCCCACCUCGGACUGACUUCCCGCGUCCCUGAUUAGGGCUGGCCCGAAUGCCAUUUUGCAGGCUUCGAAUACAGAUUUUGACAGUAUCUGCAUAUUUUUAAAAAAAAAAUUAUAGCUUUUGAACGUUAAUUAGUAGGCCUAAGUAGGUUGAAGUUCCUUAGUUUUCCCCCGUGAAAGCGAACAGCUGUUGUUCCGUUCCAAAUCAGCUGUCCUCUGCCAUCUCAGCCCAAUUCAUCCUGGAACGUGCAUCUUUUCAGGGAAUUUGUACAAUAAAUCCAUAAUAA
ensembl:lncRNA